AUGGAAAAUUCCCAAAUCCAUCUCUCUCCCCCAAAAAUCGAUCUCAAAUCCCUACGAAGUCUCUUACUCUCGCUACCGACCCGACGAAGCCCGACUAAGUCUCUUACUCUCCCCUAAAAAUCGAUCUCAAAUCCCCACUUCAUGGAACAAUUCUGAUCCCGUUCUCUCUCUCUCACUCCGAUCGCCGCCAACCCGACGAAGUCUCGUGCUCUUGCCGUCGAACUCUGCCGACAAACUCUCGUGCUCAACUCUCGCCGACGAACCAACGAAGUCUCGUGCUCAACUCUCGUCGACUUCCGCCAACUGUACAAGACGAACUCCGCCGAAUCACAAUGCCGACGAACUCCUCAGCUGACGAACAACUCCGCAGUUUGACGAAGGAAGUCAAUUACAAAUUUUUUUGAGAAAUGGAAAACUUGAAUGACGAUAACUCGAUAUAUACUCCUCAAGUAUCAGAUGAGUUGAGGCCAAAAAAAGGGUAAGAAUUUGACACAAUUGAUGAUGUUGUGACAUUCUACAAUGCUUAUGCAAAGCAGCUGGGUUUAGUGUAAGGGCUUGGACUACUCAGAAAGAGCCGGGAAGUGGUGAAAUAAGAAGGAAGGAGUAUGUUUGUUUUAAACAAGGAAAAUCUUCAAGAAUCACGGAUGUUGGAAAUAAAAGACGUCGAGGAGGCUUAGCAGAGGAUUGUCAUGCCAAAAUUGUAGUUUUAAAAUCAAACUCCGGAAAAUACAUUGUUACUGUUUUUAAUGAGGAGCACAGCCACCCUCUAUCAACACCAUCAAAGGUUCAUCUUUUAAGGUCCUACCGUAACGUUUCAGCCGCAACAAAGUCUUUAAGUAAACAAUUCUCCAUGGUGAAUAUGCCUCAGCAUCAACAAUUUAGUUUUCUUGGAGUACAAACUGGAGGUAUAGAAAAUAUUGGGUGCACUCAAAGAGAUUUGUAUAAUCAUGAAAGGGAUAUACGUGUUGAUAUGAAGGGGCAUGAUGAUGAAAUAUUUUAUGAGUAUUUAAAAUUGGAACAAGGAAAGAAUCACUCGUUUACUUUUCAAAUUGAGGCCGAUGAGGAACAAAAAAUUAAUCGUUGUUUUUGGUCCGAUGCAACUUCAAGGCGGGCUUACAAUUUUUUCGGUGAUAUUGUAAUCUUUGAUACCACUUAUAACACUAAUCGAUAUGGCCUAAUAUUUGCACCAAUAAUAGGGGUUAACAAUCAUGGUCAGACAAUUCUUUUUGCUUGUGGAUUUUUUAAAUCAUGAGAGCGUUAAUGAUUUUGUAUGGUUAUUUAAUCAAUUUUUGGCAAGUAUGCCUGGUGGUGCCCCGAAGAUGAUUAUUACCGAUCAAGAUCUAGCUAUGACCAAGGCAUUCCCUCUUGUUCUUCCAAAUAAUUUUCAUAGGUAUUGUAGUUGGCAUAUAUUAAUGAAGUUUUCUGAGAAAAUUGAUGCAGUGAAGUAUAGUAUUUAUAAGAGUGAGUUUUCGGCUUGCAUUUGGAAAUCGGAGACUCCUGAAGAAUUUGAUUUACAAUGAGAAAGUCUGAUUAAGGAGAGUGGGUUAGAAGAAAACAAAUGGUUGUAAGACCAAUAUGAACUUCGGUCAAGAUGGAUUCCAGCAUAUGUUAAUCACGUAUUCUCAGUUGACAUGUCAAGUAGUCAACGAGCAGAAAGUGGAUAUGUAUUUUUUAAGAAAUUUGUUUCGAAGAAUAAUUCAUUGGUGGAUUUCAUGAUUCAGUUUGGUCGGGGACUAGUGCGCCAACGUCAUGAGGAGUUGAUGACCGAUCACAAAGAUAUAAUUGAGAAACCUAAACUUAGAAAAAAUCAUGACUUUUUGGAGCAAAUGGUUGAUAUUUACACGAAUGAGAUGUAUUACAAGUUUGAGGCUGAAGUGUGUGACAACUUUAACAACAAGUUGCAAUGUGUUAGGGAAACCGACAAUCACUGUGUGUAUCAAAUUCAAAGAAAGAAGCUUGCAGCAAGUAAAGUCUGCGAAAUCGUUUGUGACAAGGACUUGGAUUUGGUUUCUUGUAGUUGUAAAAAGUUCGAAAGCGUCGGAAUCCUAUGUACGCACAUUAUCUCAUAUUUGAUGAAGUUUGAUGCUGAAAUAUUGCCCGAUAAAUACAUCUUAAAGAGGUGGACUAAGUCUGCAAAAUCAGGGACGUGGUUGAUAAUAAAGGCAUGCAGAUAACCUCUGACAAUUCUUAUCUUUUAACGCAGAGUCAAUUUAUCCAAUCAUCUUUGGAUUUAGUUGACAAGUCUCUCGUAUGUGAAGAAACAAGGACGAUGUUUACCGAUGGUUUGCGAAGCAUUAAUGAGCAAAUAAGUCAAUUUCUUAGUAGCCGCAUGGUUGUAAUGAGCUUCACCGAAAAAUGUAAUUCAAUAGGUAGUAAUAUAAUAGGUGAUGGUGAUGGUACUAGUGCGCACGGUUCUUGUACUUUUCAAAAUAGUUUCAAUGAACCCAAUCAAGUGCGAGCAAAGAGGUGCGGCAAAAGGUUGAAAGGAGGAAAAGAGAGAACAAUGGCUAGAGUCAAAAAUAAAAGAGAGACGUUGUCACGGGUGUGGUAAAGUAGGCCAAUCACAUGAUAAACGAAAUUGUCCGGCACUCACAAAUCCGUCUUCUACAUGCGUUGAUGUGAAUUUGCAAGAGGGUAAUGAGAUAUCAAGUGAAGAUGAGGGUUAUGUAAAUCUUUUUGAAUGAACUCGAGGAGUGGUGCAGAAAUCUGUUUUAACAAGAAGGUUCAAGUAUACAGAAGCUGUUAUGGGCAGAGAGAAGUGGUUGAAAAGUUGUUGAUGGAAACUUCAAAAUGUGGGGUUGCCUUUCAAAAAGUUUAGUUACCUAUUGUUGUUGGUUGUUUCAAAAUGUUGAUUAUUGUAAGGAUUGUAAGGACUAUUUUGAGUUAUUUGCACUUGGGAUUAUUGUAAGGAUUGUAAGGACUAUUUUCAAAAUAUUUUAAAAUGUUCAGUCUUUGUUUA